AGAGUUUGAUCAUGGCUCAGAACGAACGCUGGCGGCGCGCCUAAUACAUGCAAGUCGAGCGAGAAGACGUAGCAAUACGUUUGUAAAGCGGCGAACGGGUGGGGAAUACAUGGGUAACCUACCCUCGAGUGGGGAAUAACUAGCCGAAAGGUUAGCUAAUACCGCGUACGCUUCUUGGACUUCGGUUCAGGGAGGAAAGCGAUACCGUGGGUAUCGCGCUCUUGGAUGGGCUCAUGUCCUAUCAGCUUGUUGGUGAGGUAACGGCUCACCAAGGCUUCGACGGGUAGCUGGUCUGAGAGGACGAUCAGCCACACUGGCACUGCGACACGGGCCAGACUCCUACGGGAGGCAGCAGUAAGGAAUAUUGCGCAAUGGGCGAAAGCCUGACGCAGCGACGCCGCGUGGGGGAUGAAGGUCUUCGGAUUGUAAACCCCUUUCGGGAGGGAAGAUGGAAUGGGGUAACCCAUUCGGACGGUACCUCCAGAAGCAGCCACGGCUAACUUCGUGCCAGCAGCCGCGGUAAUACGAAGGUGGCAAGCGUUGUUCGGAUUUACUGGGCGUACAGGGAGCGUAGGCGGUUCGGUAAGCCCUCUGUGAAAUCUCCAGGCUUAACCUGGAACAGUCGGAGGGGACUGCCGGGCUAGAGGACGGGAGAGGAGCGCGGAAUUCCCGGUGUAGCGGUGAAAUGCGUAGAGAUCGGGAGGAAGGCCGGUGGCGAAGGCGGCGCUCUGGAACGUUUCUGACGCUGAGGCUCGAAAGCGUGGGGAGCAAACAGGAUUAGAUACCCUAGUAGUCC
rnacentral:rRNA from 1 species